rnacentral:tRNA from 1 species
ACCGCCAUUAGCUCAUCAGGAAAGAGCGCCAGCCUUCGAAGCUGGUUGCGCGGAGUUCGGGUCCCCGAAGGCGGUC